rfam:Schistosoma curassoni strain Dakar, Senegal genome assembly, scaffold: SCTD_contig0009105
AGAUGCUGAGGAGUUCCACAAUAGGACGAAACGGCCGUCCAGUGC